CUGGCGGCGUGCUUAACACAUGCAAGUCUAACAAACCUUCGGGUUAGUGGCGAGACGGGUGAGUAACGCGUGAGAAUCUGCCCUCAGGAGGGGGAUAACAGUUGGAAACCACUGCUAAUACCCCAUAUGCCGAGAGGUGAAACGAAUUUUGCCUGGGGAUGAGCUCGCGUCUGAUUAGCUUGUUGGUGGGGUAAAAGCCUACCAAGGCUUCUAUCAGUAGCUGGUCUAGACAGGACGAUCAGCCACACUGGGACUGAUAUACGGCCCACACUCCUACGGGAGGCAACAGUGGGGAAUUUUCCGCAAUGGGCUCAAGCCUGACGGACCAACGCCGCGUGAGGGAUGAAGGCCUUUGGGCUGUAAUCCUCUUUUCUCAAGGAAGAGGAUCUGACGGUACUUGAGGAAUAAGCCACGGCUAAUUCCGUGCCUACAGCCGCGGUAAUACCGGAGUGGCAAGCGUUAUCCGGAAUUAUUGGGCGUGAAGCGUCCGCACGCGGCCGUUUAAGUCUGUUGUUAAAUCGUGGAUCUCAACUCCAUCCGGCUAUGGAAGACUGUUCGGCUUGAGUAUGGUAGGGGCAGAGGGAAUUUCCGGUGUAGCGGUGAAAUGCGUACAUAUCUGGAACAACACCACUGCAACAGCGCUCUGCUGGCCAUUACUGACGCU
rnacentral:rRNA from 1 species